AACGCGAAGAACCUUACCAGGUCUUGACAUCCCUUGCAUAGCCAGGAGACUGGUGAAGCCCUUCGGGGCAAGGAGACAGGUGGUGCAUGGUUGUCGUCAGCUCGUGUCGUGAGAUGUUGGGUUAAGUCCCGCAACGAGCGCAACCCUUACUAUUAGUUGCUACGCAAGAGCACUCUAAUGGGACUGCCGUUGACAAAACGGAGGAAGGUGGGGAUGACGUCAAAUCAUCAUGCCCUUUAUGACCUGGGCUACACACGUAAUACAAUGGCACUUAACAGAGGGAGGCAAUACCGCGAGGUGGAGCAAAUCCUCAAAAAGUGUCUCAGUUCGGAUCGUAGGCUGCAACUCGCCUGCGUGAAGUCGGAAUUGCUAGUAAUCGCGGAUCAGCACGCCGCGGUGAAUACGUUCCCGGGUCUUGUACACACCG
rnacentral:rRNA from 1 species